AAUGAACGCUGGCGGCAGGCCUAACACAUGCAAGUCGAACGGCAGCACAGGAGAGCUUGCUCUCUGGGUGGCGAGUGGCGGACGGGUGAGGAAUACAUCGGAAUCUACCUUUUCGUGGGGGAUAACGUAGGGAAACUUACGCUAAUACCGCAUACGACCUACGGGUGAAAGUGGGGGACCUUCGGGCCUCACGCGGAUAGAUGAGCCGAUGUCGGAUUAGCUAGUUGGAGGGGUAAUGGCCCACCAAGGCGACGAUCCGUAGCUGGUCUGAGAGGAUGAUCAGCCACACUGGAACUGAGACACGGUCCAGACUCCUACGGGAGGCAGCAGUGGGGAAUAUUGGACAAUGGGCGCAAGCCUGAUCCAGCCAUACCGCGUGGGUGAAGAAGGCCUUCGGGUUGUAAAGCCCUUUUGUUGGGAAAGAAAAGCAGUCGAUUAAUACUCGAUUGUUCUGACGGUACCCAAAGAAUAAGCACCGGCUAACUUCGUGCCAGCAGCCGCAGUAAAAC
rnacentral:rRNA from 1 species